UACGGAGGGUGCGAGCGUUGUCCGGAUUUAUUGGGUUUAAAGGGUGCGUAGGCGGCUUAGUAAGUCCGUGGUGAAAGCCUCUAGCUCAACUAGAGAACUGCCAUGGAUACUGCUAGGCUUGAGUACAGACGAGGUAGGCGGAAUGGAUGGUGUAGCGGUGAAAUGCAUAGAUACCAUCCAGAACACCGAUUGCGAAGGCAGCUUACUAGGCUGUAACUGACGCUGAGGCACGAAAGCGUGGGGAGCGAACAGG
rnacentral:rRNA from 1 species